rnacentral:rRNA from 1 species
GAUGAACGCUGGCGGCGUGCCUAAUACAUGCAAGUCGAGCGAACGGACGAGAAGCUUGCUUCUCUGAUGUUAGCGGCGGACGGGUGAGUAACACGUGGAUAACCUACCUAUAAGACUGGGAUAACUUCGGGAAACCGGAGCUAAUACCGGAUAAUAUUUUGAACCGCAUGGUUCAAAAGUGAAAGACGGUCUUGCUGUCACUUAUAGAUGGAUCCGCGCUGCAUUAGCUAGUUGGUAAGGUAACGGCUUAUCAAGGCAACGAUGCAUAGCCGACCUGAGAGGGUGAUCGGCCACACUGGAACUGAGACACGGUCCAGACGCCUACGGGAGGCAGCAGUAGGGAAUCUUCCGCAAUGGUCGAAAGCCUGACGGAGCAACGCCGCGUGAGUGAUGAAGGUCUUCGGAUCGUAAAACUCUGUUAUUAGGGAUGAACAUAUGUGUAAGUAACUGUGCACAUCUUGACGGUACCUAAUCAGAAAGCCACGGCUAACUACGUG